UACCAGUGUUGCCACAUAUUAUGUUUUAAAAAAACUAUGAAAAAUUUUUCUUUUUAACAUUUAUAAAGAAAAUGAUACAAACGGUUUUUGUAUAUUAUGUUAAUUGAUAAAUAAAGAUAAAAAAUAACAUUCCUUUGUGUCGAACUACUUUCUGCACUGGCAGCCUUCGGCCGCGCUUCAAAAAAAUAACCCUCUUCGAUCGAACACCGGGGUAUUCAUAGUUCUUUUGUGUCGAACUACUUUCUGCACUGGCGGCCUUCGGCCGCGCUUCAAAAAAAAUAACCCUCAUCGAUCGAACACCGGGGUAUUCAUAGUUCUUUUGUGUCGAACUACUUUCUGCACUGGCGGCCUUCGGCCGCGCUUCAAAAAAAUAACCCUCAUCGAUCGAACACCGGGGUAUUCAUAGUUCUUUUGUGUCGAACUACUUUCUGCACUGGCGGCCUUCGGCCGCGCUUCAAAAAAAAUAACCCUCAUCGAUCGAACACCGGGGUAUUCAUAGUUCUUUUGUGUCGAACUACUUUCUGCACUGGCGGCCUUCGGCCGCGCUUCAAAAAAAUAACCCUCAUCGAUCGAACACCGGGGUAUUCAUAGUUCUUUUGUGUCGAACUACUUUCUGCACUGGCGGCCUUCGGCCGCGCUUCAAAAAAAUAACCCUCUUCGAUCGAACACCGGGGUAUUCAUAGUUCUUUUGUGUCGAACUACUUUCUGCACUGGCGGCCUUCGGCCGCGCUUCAAAAAAAUAACCCUCAUCGAUCGAACACCGGGGUAUUCAUAGUUCUUUUGUGUCGAACUACUUUCUGCACUGGCGGCCUUCGGCCGCGCUUCAAAAAAAUAACCCUCAUCGAUCGAACACCGGGGUAUUCAUAGUUCUUUUGUGUCGAACUACUUUCUGCACUGGCGGCCUUCGGCCGCGCUUCAAAAAAAUAACCCUCUUCGAUCGAACACCGGGGUAUUCAUAGUUCUUUUGUGUCGAACUACUUUCUGCACUGGCGGCCUUCGGCCGCGCUUCAAAAAAAUAACCCUCAUCGAUCGAACACCGGGGUAUUCAUAGUUCUUUUGUGUCGAACUACUUUCAGCACUGGCGGCCUUCGGCCGCGCUUCAAAAAAAAUAACCCUCAUCGAUCGAACACCGGGGUAUUCAUAGUUCCUUUGUGUCGAACUACUUUCUGCACUGGCGGCCUUCGGCCGCGCUUCAAAAAAAUAACCCUCAUCGAUCGAACACCGGGGUAUUCAUAGUUCCUUUGUGUCGAACUACUUUCUGCACUGGCGGCCUUCGGCCGCGCUUCAAAAAAAAAAUAACCCUCAUCGAUCGAACACCUAUUUUAAUCAAAAAGAGAGAAAAACUGAGAAACUUUCCAUUCUAUAAUACGUUUUUUUCUAUUUAAUAUAUAAUAUACACAUUUUUGAUUAUAUUUUCAGGACACAAAGUAUGGCAACACUGCUAUUUGUCAUAAAUGUAAACACGCAAAUCACUUGAAACUUUGAAUGUGCAAAAUAAUUUUUAAAGAAUAUUUAUUUUCUUAAAAAAUAUACAAUUAGUGUAAAUUUUUGAUAAAUACGAAUGUGUACAGUUGAAAUAUCUCGGAAACUAUGCGUCUGAGGACGGUAUAUGUGUGUACAUUUUUUAAUGCUGAGGACCUCCUCUAUCCAUCCGUACCAUCAAAUCGCGGCGCCGGAAAAAUCGUAAUAUUGCCCAGCUUU